UUGGAGGGCAAGUCUGGUGCCAGCAGCCGCGGUAAUUCCAGCUCCAAUAGCGUAUAUUAAAGUUGUUGCAGUUAAAAAGCUCGUAGUUGAACUUCGGGAUUCACCCAUUGGUCAGGCUUAAUUGUCUGUACUGGUGAGAUGAGUCUCUACCUUCUGAGGAACUUUCAUGCCAUUUGUUUGGUGUGAUUGGAAAUCAGGACUGUUACUUUGAAAAAAUUAGAGUGUUUAAAGCAGGCUAACGUCUGAAUACAUUAGCAUGGAAUAAUGAAAUAGGACGGAUUGAUUCUAUUUCGUUGGUUUCUAGGGUCACCGUAAUGAUUAAUAGGGAUAGUUGGGGGCAUUAGUAUUCAAUUGUCAGAGGUGAAAUUCUUGGAUUUAUUGAAGACUAACUACUGCGAAAGCAUUUGCCAAGGAUGUUUUCAUUAAUCAAGAACGAAAGUUAGGGGAUCGAAGACGAUCAGAUACCGUCGUAGUCUUAACCAUAAACUAUGCCGACUAGGGAUCGGACGCAGUUAAUUUUAUAAUGACGUGUUCGGCACCUUACGGGAAACCAAAG
rnacentral:rRNA from 1 species